rnacentral:rRNA from 1 species
AUGCUAUCACUCCCAUGUAUGCGACUGAUCGGUUGUCUGCUCUUGAUGGAGAUCUUCUUUCUACUGAUGACGCCACUGAGUAUCGCAGUCUUGUUGGCGGUCUGCAAUAUCUCACUAUCACCAGGCCUGAUGUCUCUUAUGCAGUCAACCGUGUGUGCCAGUACCUUCAUGCACCUCGUACCACUCAUUUCUCGGCAGUUAAGCGCAUUCUGCGAUUGGGCUGGAAGUCCUGAUGAUCGGCGAUCCACGGGGGGAUAUGCAGUGUUCUUUGGUCCUAACUUGAUCGUCUGGAAUGCUCGCAAGCAAGCCACCGUGUCUCGUAGCAGUACUGAAGCUGAGUAUAAAGCAGUUGCUGAUGCCACCGCUGAGAUCAUAUGGGUACAGUCCUUAUUGCGGGAGUUGAGAAUCUCUCCAGGUCAUCCUCCAGUUCUGUGGUGUGACAACAUCGGUGUUACAUACCUUUCAUCUAAUCCGGUGUUUCAUGCUAGGACGAAACACAUUGAGGUUGACUAUCACUUUGUUCGGGAACGUGUUGCACAGAGACUACUUUGUAUCAAGUUAUUCUCCUCAAAGGAUCAACUUGCUGACAUCUUCACGAAGCCUCUUCCACAACCACAGUGUGUAGGCUGUAGGCGCAAUCUUAACUUACUUUGUACUUCAGGCUAUAGUUAA